GUGGGGAAUCUUGCGCAAUGGGCGAAAGCCUGACGCAGCCAUGCCGCGUGAAUGAUGAAGGUCUUAGGAUUGUAAAAUUCUUUCACCGGGGACGAUAAUGACGGUACCCGGAGAAGAAGCUCCGGCUAACUUCGUGCCAGCAGCCGCGGUAAUACGAAGGGGGCUAGCGUUGCUCGGAAUUACUGGGCGUAAAGGGCGCGUAGGCGGACAGCUUAGUCAGAGGUGAAAGCCCAGGGCUCAACCUUGGAAUUGCCUUUGAUACUUGCUGUCUUGAGUUUGGGAGAGGUGAGUGGAACUCCGAGUGUAGAGGUGAAAUUCGUAGAUAUUCGGAAGAACACCAGUGGCGAAGGCGACUCACUGGCCCAAUACUGACGCUGAGGCGCGAAAGCGUGGGGAGCAAACAGGAUUAGAAACCCUAGUAGUCC
rnacentral:rRNA from 1 species